rnacentral:rRNA from 1 species
UACGUAGGUGGCAAGCGUUAUCCGGAUUUAUUGGGCGUAAAGGGAACGCAGGCGGUCUUUUAAGUCUGAUGUGAAAGCCUUCGGCUUAACCGGAGUAGUGCAUUGGAAACUGGGAGACUUGAGUGCAGAAGAGGAGAGUGGAACUCCAUGUGUAGCGGUGAAAUGCGUAGAUAUAUGGAGGAACACCAGUGGCGAAAGCGGCUCUCUGGUCUGUAACUGACGCUGAGGUUCGAAAGCGUGGGUAGCAAACGGG